AUUUUCUCUAUUUUCUAUGGGUUGUUCAAGAACAUAUACUCCUAUUCCUUCUAGAAUUCCAAGGAUAUUGUUUAUAAGGAUAUGCUGGAUGGAUAAGAAGACAGGGCUAGCUGCUGCAGCUCGUUAACUUCCUCUGGCAAGGUAUUGAAGUAACAGGCCGUGGCUAGCUGGCGCUUCCGUGGAUCAGUUGAGACAUAUUGUCUGGGAAAGAAAUAUGAAAAUACCACCAAUAUAAUGGAAUCAUGCAUAUCACCGUACCAAAAAAGAGAGGAAAAUACU